rnacentral:rRNA from 1 species
CACGUAGUUAGCCGGGGCUUCUUAGUCAGGUACCGUCAUUUCUUUCUUCCCUGCUGAUAGAGCUUUACAUACCGAAAUACUUCUUCACUCACGCGGCGUCGCUGGAUCAGGGUUCCCCCCAUUGUCCAAUAUUCCCCACUGCUGCCUCCCGUAGGAGUUUGGGCCGUGUCUCAGUCCCAAUGUGGCCGUUCACCCUCUCAGGCCGGCUACUGAUCGUUGCCUUGGUGGGCCGUUACCCCGCCAACAAGCUAAUCAGACGCGGGUCCAUCUUACACCACCGGAGUUUUCAAGUAAAAGACAUGCGUCUCCUACUGUUAUGCGGUAUUAGCACCUAUUUCUAAGUGUUAUCCCCCAGUGCAAGGCAGGUUACCCACGCGUUACUCACCCGUCCGCCACUAAGAUAGCAACAUCUCCGCUCUUAGUAAACUAAUCGCUUCGAAAAUGAUAUCUCCGUUCGACUUGCAUGUGUUAAGCACGCCGCCAGCGUUCAUCCUGAGCCAGGAUCAAACUCU